GCCUAUAAAGAGCAGAUCAUUCAGUUGAGACUUUCUUUCUUUGCUGGAACACGGUUGCGUUACCAUCUGGAUUUGACUGUUGCCCGUUCUGGAUUUGACUGUUGCUACAAUUUCCUCUGCUGGGUUCGCUUGAUCAACAUCUGGAUUUGACUGUUGCCCGUUCUGGAUUUGACUGUUGCUACAAUUUCCUCUGCUGGGUUCGCUUGAUCAAAACAAAAAUGAAUAGAAAGACUGUGCCUGUCUCCUUAUCAGCCUUAAGACGAAGGACACGUGCAGACGUUCAAAAAAGGCCAGGAACUGCAGUCCCUCCUCAACUCCCUCCACCCCCGGCACCAGCCCUCAACAUGGAGCCUUCUUCAAGCCUGGCCUACAGACCAACAUGGCGAGGGGGAAGAAUGGCCGAUACCAUUCCCUGCUCUGCGGCCGAGUUCCAAAUCCUUAGCUUGCUGGAAACCAUCAAACAGCAAAACGACCAGCUUGUGGCUAAGGUGAACCUGCUCACCAGUAGGAUGAACAGCACCCCGGGGCCAGAUGCGGAGAUGCCAGACAGCUUUCAGUUUCCCCUGGAACAAUUGGAGGCAGUGGAGGCAUUUGAAAUGUUUUUAAAGGAACCGUCAAAUGGCCCAGCUCGACAGAGAGUGAUUUCAUCUUUGGCCACCAUUGGAGGCCAGGAUGUGAAGAGGGUGACCUGGAACAUCCUGGGCAGGCUGUUCACAGAUGAGGUCUCCCAUCAGAUCAAUUGGAAGGGUGUCAACAACAAAAAAGCCUUUUAGUAGGAUGGCAACAAAGACCUUGCUUUUCAGUGCUGUGAGGAAAAACGUGGUGACACGGUCAGCCACGGACGCGGAGGUCACCAAACACGCCAUCAGGUGGUUCAACCUGGCGGCGGAUCGGGCGGCGAGGAGACGUGUCCUUCCUCCAUCCACUCCUCCACCCGAAUAACAAUUAAACAAUCUUUUGAUUGAACUUCUUGUCGUUCACCAGUUAUUCAUUUUCUGAUAUUUUAGCUGUAUAUAGCGCAGCAUUUCAUGUUGUAGCCUAAUAGAUAACAUAUUUUAUGUCUGCACCGACCUAUGCCUAUAAAGCACUAAAUUAGGUCCACAAAAUGAAUGUAAAGUAGCCUAGCCAACGU